rnacentral:misc_RNA from 1 species
CUGCGAGCUGUAGAGAAGAGGGGGCAGUCUGGAUCUGAACCCUCAGCAAGGUAUUACAUCCACCCGCUCCCCCACGCCAACGUCCUCCAGAUUUUGCAGCUCCUACUAGAGAAUGGCAUUAGAGUAAAUGAACUAACAAGGACAGAGUUCUAUGCAUGCAUCUACAAUAACAGAAAUGUGUCAAGAGAGUUGAGAAUGAUGAUACUGGUCACCAAAACUGCACUGGGUAAUAUUUUGAUUACUGGUCAUGCAUCGACAAAUGUGUAG